rnacentral:lncRNA from 1 species
UUUCGGCGCGCCGCCGCCCGGCGCCGCGGGACUGGGAGACCGGAUUUCUGAGAGAGCAGACACCAUCUUAUUUCUGUUGAAUUGUAUUUAGUAACUCAAAAGGCAUAUACCAAGCUGUCAGAAGCAGCUUCAUUUAAAAGAAAUAAAAUUUCUAGUCCUGCCUGAAGUUUAAGCUAGCCCAUGACUACUCAAGUGCAACUGUAUUUCCCAGGUAGAUGCCGGUAGAUUGGGCCCAGUAAGUUUGGGCCGUUGGGAUGUGAAAGGAAGAGAUGCGGGCAACUUUUUGGGUCAUCUUCUUAAAGAAAAAGCCAUUUGUCCUGGAUGUCCUCUUUUCUUUUUUCUCUUUGGCUGGGAAAUGACAAGAAUUAAAGCAGCAGCCUUGGAUCCAGAGAUGGACGCCAAUUGAUGAAGACGGCAGAACUGACUGGCUAGUCUGGGUUCCCUG